GUGGGUUGAUAGGGAAGGAAAGACUCCGUUGAUUGUUGCCUGUACGAAACCAGAGCCUUAUAACGUGGCGAAAGCCUUGCUAGAACUCGGCGCCAAUGUCAAUGCGUAUGGACCAGGCCGUAAUGGUGGGACGCCAUUGCACCAUGCAGCUAGAAGAGGCUUGGAAAACACUGUUAAAUUACUUCUUUCUUACAGAGCAAAUACUUCGAUUAUUAAUGAUGCUUGCCAAACUGCAUUGGAAGUUGCGAGAGCAGCAGG
rnacentral:misc_RNA from 1 species